AUGGCAACACCAAUGAGCAACCGCUCCUCAUCCCUGUUGCCAUUGACCCUCCUUGAGGGUUGUCAGGAGGAUUCAGGGACAGAUGUGGAAAUGACCAAAUACCGGGGGAUGAUUCGGAACUGCAUUUUCAACCGCUUAUAGUGCAAGAGGAGGUGGCAAAAGUGGAGGUGGCUACAGUUGAAUAUCAAGAUCAG